rnacentral:rRNA from 1 species
AUUGAACGCUGGCGGCAUGCUUUACACAUGCAAGUCGAACGGCAGCGGAGUAGUGCUUGCACUACUGUCCGGCGAGUGGCGAACGGGUGAGUAAUAUAUCGGAACGUACCGAGUAAUGGGGGAUAACCAAUCGAAAGAUUGGCUAAUACCGCAUACGUCCUAAGGGAGAAAGCGGGGGAUCGCAAGACCUCGCGUUAUUCGAGCGGCCGAUAACUGAUUAGCUAGUUGGUGGGGUAAAGGCCCACCAAGGCGACGAUCAGUAGCGGGUCUGAGAGGACGAUCCGCCACACUGGGACUGAGACACGGCCCAGACUCCUACGGGAGGCAGCAGUGGGGAAUUUUGGACAAUGGGGGCAACCCUGAUCCAGCCAUGCCGCGUGUAUGAAGAAGGCCUUCGGGUUGUAAAGUACUUUUGUUAGGGAAGAAAAGGGAAGUGUUAAUACCACUUUUUGCUGACGUACCUAAAGAAUAAGCACCGCA